rnacentral:rRNA from 1 species
UACGGCGGGUGCAAGCGUUAAUCGGAAUUACUGGGCGUAAAGCGCGCGUAGGCGGUUGGGUAAGUCAGAUGUGAAAGCCCCGGGCUCAACCUGGGAACUGCAUUUGAUACUGCCCGACUUGAGUAUGGUAGAGGGGGGUGGAAUUCCCGGAGUAGCGGUGAAAUGCGUAGAUAUCGGGAGGAACACCAGUGGCGAAGGCGGCCCCCUGGACCAAUACUGACGCUGAGGUGCGAAAGCGUGGGGAGCAAACAGG